GCCUAGUUAGCUCAGUUGGUAGCGCGUCUGCCUUGUAAGCGCUAGGCCGCGGGUUCGAUUCCCGCCCGGGGCG
rfam:Asian citrus Psyllid, Diaphorina citri - Florida Strain, whole genome shotgun sequence.